rnacentral:lncRNA from 4 species
AUCGACUUACCCAUUAGAUGCCAUGUAGAUGAGGCAUUCCUGCCUCAUGGAGGUCGUUUGAUCACUGCUGAGUCCAGUGAAAGUAAACAUUCCAAUUUGCUUAAUAGUGUGGCUCCAAUUCCAGCUGUUGCCUCAGAUCUUGGUGUCCACAAAUAUGGUUCUGUGCAAGGCUGCAAGAAGAGACCAGAACUUAUACUUCCAUUCUCCAAAAGCUAUGACUACAGCUCCACGGGAUCAGUGGCUGCUGGAGACGACUAG